rnacentral:rRNA from 1 species
AUACGGAGGACGCGAGCGUUAUCCGGAUUCAUUGGGUUUAAAGGGUGCGCAGGCGGCCGUGCAAGUCAGCGGUGAAAGCCCGGGGCUCAACCCCGGAAGUGCCGUUGAUACUGCAUGGCUGGAAUGCGGUCGAGGCGGGCGGAACGUGGCGGGGAGGGGUGAAAUGCAUAGAUAUCACGAAGAACUCCGAUCGCGAAGGCAGCCUUCCGGCCCGUCAACGACGCUCAUGCUCGAAGGUGCGGGUAUCAAACAGGAUUAGAUACCCUGGUAGUCCGCACAGUAAACGAUGGACACCCGCGGUUUGGCCUAUAUGGCUGAGCCGCCAAGCGAAAGCGUUAAGUGUCCCACCUGGGGAGUACGCCGGCAACGGUGAAACUCAAAUGAAUUGACGGGG